rnacentral:rRNA from 1 species
GUUAAGCGACUAAGCGUACACGGUGGAUGCCCUGGCAGUCAGAGGCGAUGAAGGACGUGCUAAUCUGCGAUAAGCGUCGGUAAGGUGAUAUGAACCGUUAUAACCGGCGAUUUCCGAAUGGGGAAACCCAGUGUGUUUCGACACACUAUCAUUAACUGAAUCCAUAGGUUAAUGAGGCGAACCGGGGGAACUGAAACAUCUAAGUACCCCGAGGAAAAGAAAUCAACCGAGAUUCCCCCAGUAGCGGCGAGCGAACGGGGAGCAGCCCAGAGCCUGAAUCAGUGUGUGUGUUAGUGGAAGCGUCUGGAAAGGCGCGCGAUACAGGGUGACAGCCCCGUACACAAAAAUGCACAUGCUGUGAGCUCGAUGAGUAGGGCGGGACACGUGGUAUCCUGUCUGAAUAUGGGGGGACCAUCCUCCAAGGCUAAAUACUCCUGACUGACCGAUAGUGAACCAGUACCGUGAGGGAAAGGCGAAAAGAACCCCGGCGAGGGGAGUGAAAAAGAACCUGAAACCGUGUACGUACAAGCAGUGGGAGCACGCUUAGGCGUGUGACUGCGUACCUUUUGUAUAAUGGGUCAGCGACUUAUAUUCUGUAGCAAGGUUAACCGAAUAGGGGAGCCGAAGGGAAACCGAGUCUUAACUGGGCGUUAAGUU